rnacentral:rRNA from 1 species
AUCUGCCUUGCUGGACUGAAUGUACGUGGACUCAGCUAAGCAGUCCUGGGUCUGACUGGUACUUGGAUUGGAGACCACCUUGGGAACCCAGGCACCAUAGAUC